GCUUCAGAGGGAUGUUGGUGGCUAAAGAGGAGCUGGGAUAACUUUUGAAGGUGGAGGUUGCUGUGAAAACCACAUUGUUCAUGAAGACUCAGAGAGGUAUCCUGAGUAAUCAUCUGAUCUGGAGAGAAAUCUUCUCUUUGUAAGAUGUAUGUUGGACCAUCUACAUGGAGAAGAGAAUUGAAAAAGUAAGCACAGAACAAAACUGUAGCUGUUCCAGAGCUCUUGUGAAUGUUCUCC